rnacentral:rRNA from 1 species
UACGAAGGGGGCUAGCGUUGCUCGGAAUCACUGGGCGUAAAGCGCACGUAGGCGGUUUCUUAAGUCAGGGGUGAAAUCCUGGAGCUCAACUGCAGAACUGCCUUUGAUACUGGGAGACUUGGAGUCCGGGAGAGGUGAGUGGAACUGCGGGUGUAGAGGUGAAAUUCGUAGAUAUUCGCAAGAACACCAGUGGCGAAGGCGGCUCACUGGCCCGGUACUGACGCUGAGGUGCGAAAGCGUGGGGAGCAAACAGG